UCUCCACCUCACCUGUAUAUAUAAUACAUUCAUACCACCGACUCAUCCUGUACAUACUCAUACCACGACAAUAAACUAAUUACUAGUUUGCAACCGUUGCCUCGCGUAGUUGAUUCGUUACCUUCCCGAUCCAACACCACCUCAAAUCCUACAUUGGUUCCGAUACCGGGAAUCGGUGUGAGAGGCAGUUUCUCAUUCAACAUCAAAAAGAAGCGCGAGUGCAACAAGUGAAAUGAGUGCGCGUGCCUUUACCCGGGAAGAGUCUAUCUUUGUUCAACGCGUUAAAUAAAUAAUUUCGGUCACCAAACGCGUUCGCUAAAAACUCCCGCGCCGCAACACCUCGUCAGUGUACAUAAAUUUCAGUGCAGUGAUACACUGUGGAAGAAAAAGACUUCAUUCAAUUUUCUCCACGUGGUCGUUCUCCUGUGCGAAAAUGGCGUCCUGCGAAAAUCGAUACUCGGACGUCUUCUCCAACUUGCUGCGCACGCACAGCUUCAGUGCGCACGCAAAUUAGACACACCGGUCGCCUGGCGACGUGGUUCAGUUUAUUAGUGCCUGUGUGAUUCCCGCCUCGCUAACUACCGCGGCCGAGUGCACAUGUACCGAGUGUAAUGUUGUCUCUCUCGCACCCGCUAACACGUUGCGGAGCACCCAAAGAACGUUGUGUUGUGUUAGUGCUACAAUAAAGAAUUCUAACGACUUUAUUCAGAGGGCAACCACUGUUGUAAAUAAUCUAGCAUUUAAUCUCCGUUAGUAAUUUCAAUUAUUUUGUGAUUGUCGGAAACGCGCCGUGUCAACGGUCGAAUUUCUCCCGUUCAACAUACGCGAUACAAACGGGGAUUGCAUCGGAUGUCAACAUUCCGACUCUGCUACUCUGUCCCAACAAAUAGUCCACACAUCACACAGGCAGCAUUCACCUCUACCGCGAGGAUUCAUCGAGUACUCCGCUGGUACGAGGCAUACACAGCGACAACGGACACCGCAUGCGGGGCACGGGUCAAUGAGGAUGAUAACCUCACCCGCAGUCUCAUCGCACCUACAUCGCAUCUUGACCACUCGGGCUAACGAGGAUGGAAACAUCACCCGCUAGGUUCGCAGCGAUAUUCACGCAUGAGGGAGAGAAGAAAGUAACCUCAUGCCAAAUUACUCGGAUAGCAGCGUUGAGAGCAUCGGACCGACUCACUGAGCUCAUAUCCGCUAAACACAUCGUUGAGACUUACACAUCUGCCUUCAAACACACGAGCAUUCACACAGGGAUUCAUCUCAUCGGUCAUUUCAAUAAGCCCUGUCGCUCAUCUUCGCGGAUCUCACGCAUAUUUCCUGCGAAUCAACACUUGGACUCGGGAACAACAACAACUCGGAGAACAGCCCACGCCUAGCAGCAGCAAGAAAAAACUACGUUUUUUACUGAAGCACGGAGUCAUGUAGCGGCUCGCUACAUCCACACUGAGACGCGUAUCGCACCGCUCUCACAGACACACACCUGAGGAACACAUGCACGUUCCAGGUGUCGCAAUCGCUCCUGCUUAGUAGUCGUGUAGCUCUCGCCACUCGGUGGACAUCUCCACCUCACCUGUAUAUAUAAUACAUUCAUACCACCGACUCAUCCUGUACAUACUCAUAUCACGACAAUAAACGAAUUACUAGUUUACAACCGUUA